rnacentral:rRNA from 1 species
UAUCAGCCUUUUGGGCAUGAUUCUGUGGAGCGUGAGGAGUUAAACGCCUUCAUGCCUGCAUAUUCGUGUACUUUGGGUGUACUUGCCUGUGUGGUUAGUUAACAUCAAUUUUGGUUAUCAUAAAAUGGCUGGAGGAAUGUAGCUUCGAUUUCGAUUGAAGUGUUAUAGCCUUCGGCAGAUGUGAUGAUUGGGAUUGAGGAUUGCAACGGAUACCCUUCGGGGCUACCUGUCUGGUCUCUGAUCGUUGCUUUGGUGCCGAAAGCGUGCUUACGGUUAUCAAAGUCGAUGGUCAAUAGGUUAGAACGGGUUAAAUUCGUUAAGGAUGUUGACGUA